ensembl:lncRNA
GCACCGGGACUCGGCUGCAGGCCGGCACAGGGUAGGGUAGGGUUGGGCCGUCGCAUCUCACCAGCCUGGUGCGCCUGUGUGCCCUGCUGUGAACGACCUGGUUCCCCAAGCCCAGGGCCCCCAGCUCUGUCACCUGUGAGACACAGGCAGCGCUCCACCUGCCGGUCAGUCUGGCCCCACACCAGUCCUGUCCACAACAGAGACCCCCCCCCCCGGAAGCGGUCCUGGAUUUGGGGACCCGCUGCCAAGAAGGGGAGGAAAUGGGACCUUCCCUGCCCCCUGCAGGGCCCCGCCGUCCUCUGCGCAGGUGACACACGCGGCCCGGCUCCUGUGAGCCGUGAACCUCAUGCCCCCUGUGCCAGGAAACCGACCCUUCCCCUCCGUGAACGCCCCUCCCCAGCCCCAGCAGCCCCCAGCCCUGGCCACAGCCCCGGUCUGCUCAUCUGUCCCCGCACUACGCACCCCCAGCCUCCAGCAGGAGCCAGCACGGAGCUCCGUGAAGGCGCCCAACACGACCGAAUCGAGGGCAGGGUGGGCGCGGCGUGGCCCCAGGUCACUGCCCCACGAGGGGCUGGCGGGCGGGCAGAGCCCACGCUCCGACCGGGAGACGGGAAACUUGCUCCUGCGUGGGUGCCCGCGGACGGCGGCCCUAAGGGGAGGCGCGGUUUUGCAGAGGCCACGGUGCCUUUCCCGCUCCCCCAAAGCCAGGCCUGCGGGCCUGGGCCCCGCUCGCCCGCCCCCGCGGCUGCGCCCGCACACCCGGCUUUCAGCCUCCGUGCCCGCCCUGGGCCCUGCCUUGCGGACCUGGUAGACACAGAGAAGUGGGGGUCAGCGCGGGCUCUGUGCGGGGUCCCUAGGCGGCCCCAGACCCUGCGGCCAUCCAGCUCCCAGCGAGGGCCAGCGUGCGGGACUGGGGGCCGCCUUUGGGACACCAAGCGGAGGAGAAGACGAGACCCACAGGUGACCCGCGCCCUGGACGGGCAUCCAGGCUGGACCGCGGGGACUGAUCCCGCUCCGCCCCCGGGACACGGCGGGCCCGGACGUGGGCACAGCAUCCGCUCCGCAUCCGCGACCCCCGGACAGCGCAAACCUGCGGGGCACCAGCGGCAUCUGGCCAGAACCAGGGGACCCCGACCACGGCCCCAUCCACCUGCUCCCUCCUCCCUAGGUGACCCCUGUUUCCGGCCCCGCCCCUCUUCCUGGAUCCGCCCCUCCUCCCAGCUCCAGCACCUGCUCCAGACUCAGACUCUCCCCAAAACCAAACCCUGCUCCCGGCCCCGCCCCCCCUUCUGCCUCCUCCAGGGUCUCCCAACCCCACUGCCCCCUCCACCAGCCCCUUCCCCCGGGACCGCCCCUCCACAGGCUCCGCCCACUCCACGGCACCGCCUCUCUCCUCCCCGCUCCAACCGAGCCCGAACCCCACCCACUCGUGGAGGCCCCGCCCCUCUCCGUGGAUCCGCCCCUCCUCCCAGCUCCACCACCUGCUCCAGACUCAGACUCUCUCCAACCAAAACCCCGCUCUCGGCCCCCGACCUCGCCAGGCUCCGCCCCGUCUCCCGGCCCCGCCCCCUUUAG